rnacentral:tRNA from 1 species
UGUGAUUGUGGCUCAGUGGUAGAGCGCUUGCCUAUCAUAUGUGAGGCACUGGGUUCGAUCCUCAGCACCUCAUAA